rnacentral:rRNA from 1 species
AGCACACAACAGGUGGAGCCUGCGGGUUUAAUCGGACUCAACGCCGGGAAACUCACCAGAUAAGACAGCUGAAUGAUAGUCGGGCUGAAGACUCUACUUGACUAGCUGAGAGGAGGUGCAUGGCCGUCGUCAGUUCGUACUGUGAAGCAUCCUGUUAAGUCAGGCAACGAGCGAGACCCACGCCAACAGUUGCCAGCUCGUCCUCCGGGAUGGUGGGGACACUGUUGGGACCGCUCUGCUAAAGAGGAGGAAGGAAUGGGCAACGGUAGGUCAGCAUGCCCCGAAUUAUCUGGGCUACACGCGGGCUACAAUGGGUGGGACAAUGGGUAUCGACACCGAAAGGUGAAGGCAAUCUCCUAAACCCAUCCGUAGUUCGGAUUGUGGGCUGCAACUCGCCCACAUGAAGCUGGAAUCUGUAGUAAUCGUGUCUCAAAAUGGCACGGUGAAUAUGUCCCUGCUCCUU